rnacentral:rRNA from 2 species
UUAGGUUAAGUUAUGAAGGGCGCAUGGUGAAUGCCUUGGUACUAGGAGCCGAUGAAGGACGGGACUAACACCGAUAUGCUUCGGGGAGCGGUAAGUACGCUUUGAUCCGGAGAUUUCCGAAUGGGGCAACCCAAUCAGCUUAGUCGCUGAUUACUUGACUAGUGAAUACAUAGCUAGCAAGAGGUAGACGCAGUGAACUGAAACAUCUUAGUAGCUGCAGGAAGAGAAAGAAACAUCGAUUCCCUGAGUAGCGGCGAGCGAAAAGGGAAGAGCCCAAACCAACAAGCUUGCUUGUUGGGGUUGUAGGACUGAACAUUAGAGUUACCAAAGUGCGACGUAGUCGCAACAGUUGGGAAGCUGUGCCAUAGAGGGUGAAAGCCCCGUAGACGAAACGUCCCACUCUCUGUUCAGGAUCCUGAGUACGGCGGGACACGCGACACCCCGUCGGAAUCCGACAGGGCCCGUCCGCCCGGGACACAUCCCCCCUCGUGCCCCAAAGGGCGCCAGACCCGGGAGGGCACCGCAAACAGCACCCCGGG